rnacentral:lncRNA from 10 species
ACACGCACGGUCCAGGGGAUUGGAUGCGCCGCCCGUCCGGUUGCCGAGGCGCUGCGGGGCUAUUCGGUUCCAGCCGGGCCCCCUUCCCGCUUCCACUUUGGGAUGCUGCAGCCCCCAACGACGCCCCUCCACCGCCCCUUAUCGUUGCUUAGGCGUCCCGCUGCAACUCUUGGUUGCAAAAUUCAAGUUUUCCCGCCUCUGCAGCGGUUGCUGGGGGAGAAGCUUAGGGCUCUCUUGGCUUCAUUUUGUCCGAAGAGACUCUGCACGCCUUAAGUCCGUCAGGUCGAGAGGGAAGGAAAGUGGGCUGAGGCGCGGGAAGGCUCCUUGCAGGCCCAGCCUCCCUGAGGAUUUCUAGUCCAGUCUUUCAGGGCUUUUUUUUUUUUUCUUUAAAAGUCUUCCUUUUCCCUCCUCCCGCCAUUCCUUGGCCAUUCGCUGUUUCUACAAAUGACAGCCUCUAGGUUGUGUUCGUUUCCCGGAGUGACCAAGCUGUGUCCCAGAGCAACAAAACGCUGAAUCCUCCUCUCUGAACGUCCCAGAGCCCGGCCUCUCUUCACACAGACCCUGUGGGUCAUGGGGAGGAGAGGAGAAGACUGAAGCUUUUGGCUGGAGGAGAUUCCCAGGUCCCAAGGUCUCCCUGUGGGACCCGGGAAUCCAAGAGCUGUUGAAACCUGCAAGCCAGGAAGGGGGCAGGGGAAUGGAGGUGGAGGGGAAGGUCCAACCUGAGAUUUGGCAAGAAGAGUGGUUAGGGUACCUUCCUCCCCUCAUCUCCCUGCCCACCUCGGAGGCCUCCUAACACUUGUACCCCUGUUGCCCAGCACUUGUUACAAGUUACAGGUUUCCCAUUUUUGUGUGCAUCUGAGUUUUGUGAGUAAUCUGCCACCAGCCUAGAAUGAAAGCUCCCGAAGGCGCAGGGACGGCUUGUGCUUUGCUGGCAUUGAGUGGCACAGAACCCGACUCCCAGCGGGUACUCAGAUGGGUCUUUGCUGGGUGCUGCCACUGAGGGUGUCCCUUCUGCAGGCUCUUUGCCCCACUUGGGUUCAAAGGCGAGAAGCUCAUUUUUUUCCCUCUGGAGGAUUCAGGUAACCAGACGUUUUGUGGGAGGAUUUAAGGUUUUUCUGGCCACCUGUGGCAGCACAGGUGGAAAGGACACCAAUCCAAGCUGUAUAAUAAAUAAGCAAGCUGCCUCCACCCCCUGUUUGAAAGCACAUAGGAGGUGACUCAAGUUCAGCCGGAAAUAAAGUGCAUGUCAGGGCCUGUAACUCCCCUGUUUGGACUAGCACAGCAGUUCCCAACCUUUUUGUUUUCAAGACCCCUUUACACUAUUAAAAAUCAUGGAGGACCCCAAAGUACUUUGUUUAUGUGUAAUGUCUUUCAAUAUUUAUCUUAGAAUUAAAACGGAUGUGUCCAAAACAUGGGAGUACACAAGCAUGCAUUCCAACAGUCAUCAGAGUGAUGAUGUCAUCACAUGUCUUGUCCCUUCUGGAAAACUCCAUUGUAUACUCGUGAGACAAUGGGAAUGAUGAGAACAAAUGACAUCUUAGUUUUGUGAAAGCAGUUUUGGCCUUGCAGAGACCCCCGUAAAGGGGUCUCAGGGACUCCCAGAGACCACACUCUGAUCAUGGCUGGACUAGAUACCAUGUCACCACCUUUAGAGAGCUCCGUUCUUAGGUCUCCUCCUCCUCUCCCUGAUUGGCAAGGCCACACCCUGGGAGCAGCACCCCAGCUCUGUGUGAGUGAGUGUUGGGUGGUUGAGUUUUACUCCUGUUAUCGGUACUGAUUUAUCAGGAAGUUCGUGGGUGCCAGUGCACCUGCGUGGGCCCUGCAUUCCUGGAGGUGUCGUCACAUCCUCUCUCCCUUCCCCAGGUGUGGCAUCCCUCUUUACUUGGACUUUCCUUUCUAGAGGGAGGGCCAGGCCAGAGCUUCCUGGAUUUCUUAAGGAAAAUUAUUUCAACCCGUGCGCCUGGGUUGUAUAAGGAAGAAAAGUAGAAAAUAGUUGGAAUUUGAUAAAGGUAUUGUGAAGGAAGAAAAUCCUUUCAUUCUGAGAGAUGUUAAGGCCACAAGUGUGUUCACUGGGCCUGAAUUUCAGCCUUUCUUGAGAAGCAUGAUCAGCACAGACGAGGAUUUUAUAUUCCCGUUUCUUCCAUUUGAAGGCUAACCCUAACCUUAUUUCUGUCCAUCAUCCCUCCCCACCCCCAAAUCCUCAAGCUAAAGCUGAUCAAGACUUACAAGUGGCCUAAAAAGCUAGUCCCCUGCCUGGGAGAAUUAAUACUCAGUGGGUUAGGGAGAUAAGUAAGGUGAACAUAUGACAUUAUGGACUCUCUAAAUUAUAGGUUCACAGAAUCGUUAGUCCAGAAUGGGCUACCAGAGAUAAUCACGCC